GAUGAACGCUAGCGGCAGGCUUAAUACAUGCAAGUCGAACGGGAUUCGAGGUAGCAAUACUUUGAUGAGAGUGGCGCACGGGUGCGUAACGCGUAUGCAACCUACCUUUAACAGGAGAAUAGCCCCGAGAAAUCGGGAUUAAUACCCCGUAACAUUGCGAGAUGGCAUCAUUUUGCAAUUAAAGAUUUAUCGGUUAAAGAUGGGCAUGCGUGACAUUAGCUAGUUGGUGAGGUAACGGCUCACCAAGGCGACGAUGUCUAGGGGUCCUGAGAGGGUUAUCCCCCACACUGGUACUGAGACACGGACCAGACUCCUACGGGUGGCUG
rnacentral:rRNA from 1 species